UCUCGCAGCCCCGGGCCCGGCCUCCUCUGGGGUGUCUCGGUGUGUGUGUGGACGGCUCUUCCAAUCCAAUUUUACACAUUGAUCUUAUUUGAUCCCCCCGUCAUGGCUGCCGGCGGCGGGGAAAUGAUAGGACUCCUCCAACGAGCCCCCACCGGGGACGGUGUGUGUGGAGAUGGCAAUACAGGCGGUCACGGUGGAAAUGAUGAUUUGAUCAGAUAUACUAGGCCGGGUUUCUGGCCUGUGAGUAUAUAUGCGAUUCUGAUCCCA